AAAUCCUUAAAUUGAUGAAGGAGAACUCUAAAUGCACACUCCCACCAAGAAAAACCCCAAAUUUGAGCAAGAAACUAAACUUUUUGUGAGUGGGUGGUGAGAAAGUGUAUAAAAAUAUCUUUAAAACCCUCUUGAAAGUGCAAAUAUGGAGCAAGAGUGCAAGGAGACCGCCAGGCGAAAAUCAAAGGGGCAAAGCAAAGUGAAGAAAACCUAAAACCACCCAGCUUUUAAAAGGCUCCGGUUUUAGUUUUCGCCGCCACCGCCCGGCGGCAAAGUGGUACCGCCCGACGGUGGGUCGUAAUUUUCCUUGCCACUUUUCUUACUUGCCUUCCUGUAAUUUCUCCCGAUAGCUUCUGAUCUUUGCCCUAAAUUUUUCACUUUCAAGAUUUUCCUCACUCAAAUGCACAUGCACACCUAAAAUGUAUUAAGACAGAAUUCGGAAAACAAAUAACAAACAUAGAAAUUCAAAAUUAUGUACAAAAAUUGGGAUAGUCCCCAUAAACACCCAUCAGUAGGUGUUCCAUUUAUUCUUGCUUGGUAAUUUCUUCUUCUUCUUCUUUAUGCUAAAUUUCUUCAGAAAGUUGAUCAAACCACGCACAUGUUUCCAUGAAUCAGUCAUAGGAGCCUUAAUCUCCAAUUUCUUGAAGAUCUCCAUGAAUUACUUGAACCUAUUUUCCUUCCUAUGAUUUUUCUUUUUAUGAGGAAGAGGCUUUUCAUAAGAUCUUUUCUUCUUUCCUCUCUUACUCUUUUUCUUUUUAUCCUCCCUUAACUUUCUAUUUUUCUUUUUCUUUUCUUUCUUUAUUUUCACAUUUUUUUUUCUUUUUUUCUUUUCUUUCAGCCACUGCUCUUCCUUUCUCAUCAUCCUUCUCACUCUCAUUCAACUUUUCUAUUUCCUCUACCUUUUCCGCAGCAACAACUUUUUCUGUUUUUAUUUCCUCUUUCUUUUCUUUCUCAAAUAUCUCUGGCUCUUCUUCUUCUAUCUUUUCUUCCUUGACAACCUUAUCAUUUUUAAAGAUAGUGGCUUGACCUUCUUCUUUAGGGUUAACUUCAGUAUUAUCCCUAAUAAUGCCCAGAGAUUUCAAUACCUUUGUUAUCUCUUCUUCCUCUAUCUUCUUUUCACCAAUAACCUUGUCAUCCUCAAAGAUAGGAGCUUGACAUUCUUCCUUAGGGUUAACUUCAGUAUUAACCCUAAUAAUACCCAGAGACUUCAACGCAUAAGAGUGUUGUUCCUGCAAUAAACGUUCUUUAGCUUCCCCCAACGUUUCUUUUCGCGCUAAGAAUAAUUCCUAUUGUAAACGUUGUUUAGCUUCCCUCAACGUCUCUUUUGGCCUAGAGGAAUAUUGCCCAAAUUGCCUAUGAUAUAUGUUUGAAUAAGGUUCCCACCAGUGGUUGAAACCAUUUUUUUGGUAGAAUUGAGUGCCUACAAAAUCAAAUUCUUGUCCAAACUGCAUUCUGCAAAAAUUAGGCACAAAACCCUAGAAAACAUUUAUUAGAAAAAAAUAAAAAAUAAACAUAAAAUCAAGUCAAAUUCAAUCAAUUCACACUACUUGAAAAAGUUAAACCUCGAGUCCCCG
rnacentral:lncRNA from 1 species